rnacentral:tRNA from 1 species
UCCCCUGUGGUGCAACGGCAGCACGCCCGGCUGUUGACCGGGAAGUCCAGGUUCGAAUCGUGGUGGGAGAG